UACGGAGGGUGCAAGCGUUGUUCGGAAUUAUUGGGCGUAAAGCGCGUGUAGGCGGCUUUGCAAGUCGGGUGUGAAAGCCCUCAGCUCAACUGAGGAAGUGCGCCCGAAACUACGUGGCUGGAGUGUGGCAGAGGAAGGUGGAAUUCCACGUGUAGCGGUGAAAUGCGUAGAGAUGUGGAGGAACACCAAUGGCGAAGGCAGCCUUCUGGGCCAACACUGACGCUCAUGCACGAAAGCGUGGGGAGCAAACAGG
rnacentral:rRNA from 1 species